GCUUUAUCCCUCUCCCGGAGGAGACUCAAAGUGGCUAUGAUAUCCAUUGGGCAACUGUGGGAACCAGAAUAACUGUGCUGGCAAUUAAUUGCACUAUGUUAAGACUAGCCCAGGUUCAUAGGAUCUUAGUCCUACCAUUUUUUGCAUGCCUAUUUUUCAAAAUAAAUCUCAAGCAAUGUAUACUUGGGGCCGGGCUGUGGCGCAACUAGCUAGUAACCAGCUGCUAUAAAUCACUACUGACCGAGAGGUCAUGAGUUCGAAGCCCGGGUCGGGUUAAGCCUCCGACCAUAAAAAAAAAAAAAUAGCCCCGGCUUGCUGUUGACCUAGCAGCCCCGAAAGACAGUUGAAUCUGUCAAUUAGGGAAAUUUAGGGACGCUUUAUGCGGGAGGCUAAUUUAACUAAUCUACAACACCAUAAAACUGCUCACGAGGAAAAGAAGAGGAAGAACAGCCACCAAUGGACGGUGAAGCAACAGCUCCCCCUGUGGCCGGAAAUCGUGAAGCUGGAAGAUGUUAAAAAAUGCCUCUGUGUCUGUCUAAAAACUGAAUGUUGUUUGUCUAUUGGCAUUGAAUGUUUGCCAUAUAUGUGUUCAUUGUAAUCCGCCCUGAGUCCCCUUCGGGGUGAGAAGGGCGGAAUAUAAAUACUGUAAAUAAAUAAAUAAAUAUUCUUGGCCCUCCACAUUUGCAAGUUUAACUUUUGUGGAUUUGAGAAUGACCUAGAUAUUUCCAGAGACACCUCCCUAGAGUCGCUACGUUCUCCAGGGCGACUUAUAAUAAUGGCAUAAUGAGAAUUUUUCUAAUAUACCUGGCUACAUAAUUGUCAAUUAUAGGCAUGCGGGAUUUUCAUUUCUAGAGUGAAAAGGGAGCAUGCAUACAAAAGUGAAAGAAAUACAAAAAUAUCCCAAAAUGUCUCCACAAAUGACCAUAACUUUGUUGCUAUCAAAUCAGUUUAGACUUAAAACUCAAUAAUAAGGAGUAGGAGGUUUAGCUGGACUGCUGUUCAGAGCUGUUGUGAGGUAGUGGUUAGACUGGGAAGAUUCAAUUUAAAAACAUCUUGUGCCACAAAAUUCAUUAGUAAGUGUUACUAUCACCCCUGUGUACCUCACAGGGCUGAUGUAAGGCUAAAGUGGGGAGGAGAAAAGCCUACUUCUUUGCAGGAAAAGUGGCAUAUAGUUGUAAGAAGAAAUCCAGUAUGGUAUAUACUGUAUAGUGGUCUGAAUGUUGGUCAAGAUCACUGGGAGACGAAGAUUCAAAUCCCCAUUCAGGCAUGAAAACUCUGACUUCAGGCAGCUCACACUUUCUAUGUCAGAGGAAGAACAAGGGCAAUCCCACUAACCUAUUUUGUCAAGAUAGUCCCCAUGAUAGGUUUGCCUUAACGUUAGCCACAAGUCAGAAAUGAACUGAAAGUACAGAGAUGAAAUAUUGUAACAAGGUUGUACAUGGAUUUCAAGUGAACAUGACCCUAGAGCGGAAGUGAUCAUAAAAUGGAUUGGGAUCUAUUCGUAGAUCCCUCAAAAAUCUUAGCAGUUGCAUCAAAACAACUAUCCUUUUUUGAAUUUGACUGCAAAAUUGACAAUGUGUGUGGAGUCUGUGACCUGUAUUCAGUUUUUAUAAAUUCCUGAGCUCAGAAUUUUUUAUAUUUAAAAGUUCAUCUAUACUACAUUGUGAGAUAGUGGCUGGAUCUACACUGCCAUAUAAUCCAGAUUAUCAAAGCAGAUAAUCUACAUUAUCUGCUUUGAACUGGAUUAUUUGAGUCUACACUGCCAAAUAAUCCAGUUCAAAGCAGAUAAUCUGGAUUUCAUCUUGCAGUGUAGAUGGGGGCAUUGAGAAUUUAUUGCUGUUGAGUUCUAAUGCACUUCAUCAAACUUCCAAAGUAUUUUGAUGUAAUAUUUGGUCCCUGUUGUUUGUGUUCUUUGGGAACUCUGUCAAAAGAGUACAAUUCUGAGCAUUUUACUAAACCCAAAAUGUGUGAGACCCUGACAGUUAGUCAUCUCAAACUGCUAUUCUGUCUUUUGCAUCUUGGAGACGGAGAUUUAAAACAACAAUGUUAGUCUGCCUCUGAAAUACAGGUUAUAUACAAGUGGCAUCAUGAAAGAAAUAAAGGUUUUUUAUAGGCAGUUUCAUAUACAACAGGAGGAGCAGAAGGGAAAGGAUGGAGUCAUUUGAGAAUAUAAGAGACCCUUGGACAAAUGAAAAAGCAGUGCUGGUUGCAUGAAGGUUGCAGGAAAGGAUUUAAUAUCUAGAUAUAAGAGCAGUAAGAACAAGAGAGGCAGGAUUGGAGAAAUAAAUUGUAAACAAUGACAAGCAGUUUGUGCUGGAUCCUAGAACAGAGGGAAGCCAGUACAGAUAUAUAAGGUGGGCCAUCUCAUCCUCGGACCUAAUAAAAAGCAGAAUAUUUACAGUUCUAAACAGAGCUGCUAAUAAUGCAAACCUAUCUUAGUCUUGAAAAUUCUAGCCAAACUUUAAAACUCUGGGCAUUGGAGUAGAAUUUGUAGCUCAUAAUUAUGAUGUUUUUAUAAUAAAUUACAGAAUAAUUGGUCUUCUAGAGUGUUGAAUUUUUGUACAUACAGCAAUAGUAAUGGAAAUAGUAACAGUAGUAGGAAAUAAUUUUAUAAUGUUAUUAAUAAAUAAACAAUUUAUCACCUAUAUGUAAAAUAUUCUGGAAUAAUUUUUGGCUGAGGUACAAGAUAAAAAAAUCUAUAAAUAGACAAACAGAUUGAUAUAUAGAUCUUUGUGGAGAAGAAACACAUUGAGUGUUUGUGUGAUUUAUUAGCAGAAAGUUGUUAGUAACAUUUGUACCCAUAAUGUAAUCAAUCUCAGAAAUAUGAUUUCCUUCUCGAACUGUAUUAUUGAUGUAUUUCUUUAACUAUAAACUGCUAGCCAAUUGGAACAGAACAUUCUCUUUAAGAAUAUUCUGAAGAGUCUUUUACUUCCGCUGAUGAUAGUUUAGCAGUGUCCACACGGGGGCACCUUUGUUGCAGUCUUUGACAACAUUGUUAGUAAAUUUCCACAUUAUACUCUUUUUUGCUCCCUUUUUAGGAUGCUGAUAGAUGAUGGAUUUUCAGGUCUCAUCCCAUCCACCAUCAGCCACCUACAUUUUAUAGCACUCACAACACUUCCACUGCAUUUCAAAAAAGGGAAAUAUAGAUGUAGUUUUAGGCACCUGAUCCUGUCUGAUCUGAAGCUAAGCAAAGUCAGCCCUGAUUAGUAUUUGGAUAGGAGCCUCCGGUGGCCUAGAGGAUAAAAGCCUUGCGACUUGAAGGUUGGGUUGCUGACCUGAAGGCUGCCAGGUUCGAAUCCCACCCCGGGAGAGCGCGGAUGAGCUCCCUCUAUCAGCUCCAGCUCCAUGCGGGGGCAUGAGAGAAGCCUCCCACAAGGAUGGUAAAACAUCAAAACAUCUGGGCAUCCCCUGGGCAACGUCCUUGAAGACAGCCAAUUCUCUCACUCCAGAAGCAACUCCAGUUGCUCCUGACACGAAAAAAAAGUAUUUGGAUGAGAGAUCACCCAAUAUCAGGAUAUAUAUAUAUAUAUAUAUAUAUAUAUAUAUAUAUAUGUGUGUGUGUGUGUGUGUGUGUGUGUGUGUGUGUGUGUGUGUGUGUCUCGCUUAUCUAACCUUCUCUCAUCUAACGUUCUGUAUUAUCCAACGCAGUCUGCCUUCACAGGACUGAACUUUUUACGGAUUUAACUUCCAACAAUGUUGUUACUGUAAGUUCGUUUUAUGUAAUUCUAUCUUUAUUUGUAGUCAAAUGUUUUGUAGUCAAUGUUUUUGUAGUCAGUGUUUUCAAUACAUUGCAAUGUUUUGGUGCUAAAUUUGUAAAUACAGUAAUUACUACAUAACGUUACCUUGUAUUGAACCAUGUAUUGAACUGCUUUUUCUGUCGAUUUGUUGGAAAACAUGUUUUGGUGAUUAAUUUGUAAAAUCAUAACGCAAUUUGACAUUUAAUAGGCUUUUCCUUAAUCCCUCUUUAUUAUCCAACAUUUUUGCUUAUCCAAUGUUCUGCAGGCCCGUUUAUGUUGGAUAAGCAAGACUCCACUGUACAUUUGUGUGUGUGUAAUCUUACAUAACCUUUGGCUUUGAUUCAGGGAAGGCUUUUCAUUCUGCCUCCCUAAGAAGACAAGUCCCUACCUCAAUGUCUUUGUGGCUAGACUACCAUAGUGAGUUAUAUUUCAGAGACCGCCCAUUCAAACAUUACUUCAUACCAUUGUUAUUGUUAACUGCAGUCUAGUCGACCUUGAGUUGUGUAAAGUUCUUCAUAUAGAUAAUUAGUUUUCUCUGCUUUGUUUUUUCUCCACUUUGUUACAGUUCAUUCCCUUUUCCUAAGCGGAAUCAUCUUUCCAAGUUACCAUUUUGAGUUCUAGGUCUCUAACAAGACUCUGGAAGUUGUUAGCUUGCUCUAAUAACCUACUCUUCACCAUUUUGGAGGCAGAAAGAUUUCCACAGAGCUAGUCAUCUGAACUGGUAAUAACCAACUUGAGAAAUAACUCGUUUGUUCCCUUUUCCUCACACUAUUGAUACAUGGUGAUUUUAUUCUAUUUUGUGUAUACAGUAUAUGCCUUCACUUUGCCUGUUCACUGGUGAUCCCUUUUUUUUAAAUUCAAACUACUUUUAUUCUAUGCUGUGGAUUGACUAGAAUUUCCCUGGUGACAUUCUAUUGGCUCAUUGGGAACUAGAAUCUGGAUUUCCAAAUCCCAUUGUGGUCUGCUAAUGGGUGGGUUUGAGUUGGAGAGGAGUUAGACAAAUAUUGGAAUGAGUUUGCUCUGUUCUUAAUCUGGAUGGAAUCCCAUUAAUUUAAUAGGGUUUUCUUAGGCAAUAUCAGGUGUUAUAUGUUAGAGGAAAGAAGGUAUACUUUCUAUAUACUGAAUAGAUGUGUGUGUGUAUAUAUAUAUAUAUGCAUAUUUACAUAAUCAUAUAUAAUGAACUUAUAGAUGUAUAAAUGUCCUAAGACCAAAUAAAGAAGUUGAAGCCCUGAAUUCUGAGAGAUAGUUGACAUCACUGGAACUCAGCCAAUCCUAGAGACUCAUGUUAUCUUGCUGGCUCCUUGGUCUUUAUGACAUCACAGUGGCCACAGCUAAAGAAGACUUGCUUGCUUGGGAGGCUUCAGAGCAGUCCAGCACACUGACUAGGCAAGAGACAACAACUGGCAGUGGAAGGUAGAGGAUAGAGCAGGCAAUAGGAUAAGAAGACAAGUUCACUAGCAAAAGCAGAUGGACUCGCUAAAUUGAAGGUGCCAUCACCCUCGUAAUUCUAUGGCAGAUGAUUCCAUAGAUCCUCCGGAAAUCUGGAAGGGAGUGGGACCGUCUCCAGUGCCAAUGAUUGAAACUGUAAAUGAGGCAGUUUACAAUCUCAUUCCUCACACCUGGAACAUAUCACACUGUGAACAUAAUGUUAUCAGACAAACCAGUCAUGACAAAUAGCCUCACUAUGACUUGGAGGAUUGCUUGUUGAUAACCCUGACAAUGGCAUUAUUGUUGCACAAAAACAUACUCGUUUGUUGCUGAGAAUAUCCAUCCAAAUUCAGAGUGUUACGUGGAUGUGGAAGAACUCCAGGAAGGUAAGGUCCCUAAGGAUAUUACCACCCCUCCACCAUAGUGCACCAGUGACUUAGAAAGUAUACCCCAAACCCAAUGUGACCUGCCACAUCUGAUUGGACUUGGAGCUUGGAUCCUGUUUCCAUUUCUUCUACUAUGCAGACACCACGAUAAACUUCUCUUAGGAAAAAAUCCAACCUCAAAUUGCACAGAUUCUCUGAGGAGCCGCGAUCAAUAAUAAAAAUUGAUAAACUUUA